rnacentral:rRNA from 1 species
CAGUCGCCACGGUAAAACGGAGGGUGCAAGCGUUGUCCGGAAUUAUUGGGCGUAAAGAGCUCGUAGGCGGUUUGUCGCGUCUGCUGUGAAAUCCCGAGGCUCAACCUCGGGCUUGCAGUGGGUACGGGCAGACUAGAGUGCGGUAGGGGAGAUUGGAAUUCCUGGUGUAGCGGUGGAAUGCGCAGAUAUCAGGAGGAACACCGAUGGCGAAGGCAGAUCUCUGGGCCGUAACUGACGCUGAGGAGCGAAAGCGUGGGGAGCGAACAGGAUUAGAUACCCCGGUAGUCCCUGUCUCUUAUAC